rnacentral:rRNA from 1 species
AGAAUCAACGCUGGCGGCGUGCCUCAGACAUGCAAGUCGAACGAUUAAAGCUCUCUUCGGAGAGUGUAUAGAGUGGCGCACGGGUGAGUAACACGUAAGUAAUCUACCUUCGAGUGGGGAAUAACCCGGGGAAACCCGAGCUAAUACCGCAUAAUGCAGCGGCAUCGCAAGAUGACAGUUGUUAAAGGAUUUAUUUCGCUUGAAGAGGAGCUUGCGGCAGAUUAGCUUGUUGGUAAGGUAACGGCUUACCAAGGCUACGAUCUGUAUCCGGUCUAAGAGGACGGUCGGACGACACUGACACUGAAUAACGGGUCAGACUCCUACGGGAGGCAGCAGUCGGGAAUUUUGGGCAAGUGGGCGAAAGCCUGACCCAGCAACGCCGCGUGAAGGAUGAAGUAUUUCGGUAUUGUAAACUUCGAAAGAAUAGGAAGAAUAAAUAGACGGUACUAAUUUAAUAAGUCUCCGGUACUAACUACGUA